GGGCCCGCACAAGCGGUGGAGCAUGUGGUUUAAUUMGAAGCAACGCGAAGAACCUUACCAGGUCUUGACAUCCCACUGACCGGCUUAGAGAUAGGCUUUUCCCUUCGGGGACAGUGGUGACAGGUGGUGCA
rnacentral:rRNA from 1 species